UUUUUUUUUUUUUUUUUUUUUUUUUUUGCAUACCCACUUUUCCUAAUGCAAUAAGCAGAGAGGAUUCUGGAAUCAUCUUUUUUUUUGCAACAAACUGCUCAGGAUAAUUUGUGUUGGCUGCUGCUGCCUCCAGUCAUCAUACAAGUCAGCUUUAAGUUCCAAGUCAAACUUCAGUUGCUCAAAGCCAUCCAUGAUGAACAGAAUUUGCUCUGGCUGGGAAAAAAAGUCUUUGAUCUUUUCUGGAGACUCAGGCCAGUUCCAGUCCCUAGAGAGGAGCUCCAGUAAGCUGGUCUCUGUGAUACCGUUCGUUUCACAGACAUUAAGGAAGAAAACAAAUGUGAAUCUAUCCUUCCAUAACAUAAGUUUCCCUCUGCCCAGUCCAACAUCACUUUUUUUUUUUUUUUUUUUUUUUUUUUUUUUUUGAGACUGAGUCUUGUUCUGUCAUCCAGGUUGCAGUGCAAUGGUGCGAUCUCAGCUCAGUGCAACCUCUGCCUCCCAGGUUCAAGUGAUUCUCCUGCCUCAGCCUCCCAAGUAGUUGGAAUUAUAGGCAUGCACCAGCAUGCCCAGCUAAUUUUUGUAUUUUUAUAGAGACAGGGUUUCGCCAUAUUGGCCAGGCUGGACUCGAACUCCUGGCCUCAAGUGAUCCACCCACCUUGGCCUCCCAAAGUACUGAUGUUACAGGCGUGAGUCACUACAUGUGGCUGCUGCUUGACUUUCUAAGUGAGACAUUCACAUUCUGGACCUGCAGUAAACAGAUUUGCAAAAGCCAGGAAGGCAGAUUAGUAAGGUUAGUUCCACGUUCUUCUCCCCCUCCACACACACAUUCUUUAGAUUAUGUGGUAAAUAUAAAAUGACACCCCAGAGACGUCCACAUCUUAAUCCCCGGAACCUGUCGAGGUGUUACUGACAUGGCCAAAUGGAUUUUGUAGGGGUGACGUAUUAGUCUGUUCUUGCACUGCUAUAAAGAAAUAACUGAGGGUGGGUCAUUUACAAAGAAAAGAGGUUUAAAUGGCGCUCAGUUCUGCAGGCUGCACAGGAAGCCUGGUAGCCUCUGCUCCUGGGGGGCCCUCAGGGAGCUUUGAUUCAUGGCAGAAGGUGGAGUGGAAGCAGGUAUCUUACAUGGCAGGAACAGGGUCAAAGGCGGGUGGAGGUGCUACACACUUAACCGGACCGCAU
rnacentral:lncRNA from 1 species